rnacentral:rRNA from 1 species
UACAGAGGGGGCAAGCGUUGUCCGGAUUUACUGGGCGUACAGCGCGCGCAGGCGGAACUGGACGUGCCGUGUGACAGCCCACCGCUCACCGGUGGAAGGCCACGGUACACGACAGUUCUGGAGGCAGGGAGAGGGAUGUGGAAUGCCCGGUGGAGCGGUGAAAUGCGUAGAGAUCGGGCGGAACACCAGCGGCGAAGGCGGCAUCCUGGCCCUGACCUGACGCUGAGGCGCGAGAGCGUGGGGAGCGAACUGG